rnacentral:rRNA from 1 species
UACGAAGUGGGCUAGCGUUGCUCGGAAUUACUGGGCGUAAAGCGCACGUAGGCGGCUUCUUAAGUCGGUGGUGAAAUCCUGGAGCUCACCUCCAGAACUGCCUUUGAUACUGAGGAUCUUGAGUUCGGGAGAGGUGAGUGGAACUGCGAGUGUAGAGGUGAAAUGCGUAGAUAGUCGCAAGAACACCAGUGGCGAAGGCGGCUCACUGGCCCGAUACUGACGCUGAGGCACGAAAGCGUGGGGAGCAAACAGG